CGUGGCGGCGGGCGCAAAAAUCCGCGGGGCCGGGGGCAGAAAGCCGCGGCGGCGGGGGCAAAAAGCAGCGGAGGCAAAAACCCGCGGCGGCGGCAGCAAAAAGUUGCAUCCGCGGGAGCAAAAUAGUGGAAAUGGGGUAGAAGACCAGCACAGCUUGGCAUUCCUGGAGUGUGAUGUGGAAGGAAAAGUGCAGCGGAAGACAAACAAAGAUCUGUCCUGAGAGCAUGUCUUUACAUCUCUACCUGCAUUCUGGAAUCAGGGAGAAAGCCAAAACGGAUGACAAGACACUAGAUCAGCCGUGUCCAACCCUUUGACUACAAGGACUUUUCCGCCUAUCUGUGGUGGGGUUCCUGGCAAGUCAGUUCUCCCUCAGGCCUUCAGUUUCCUCACCUUACAAGAUGAGAGGGCUGGAUCAGAUGGAAAUUCAGGGGGGUCCGUAUCUCCUGCUGGGUGAGGUCAUUGGACACAGCGCACUUGGUGCACAGCCCGCACAGGCUGCCAAU
rnacentral:lncRNA from 1 species